rnacentral:lncRNA from 1 species
GUCAGGGAGAUGCCCUGUAACUGCCAGGGAAGCAAGAUGUGAGGUGUCAAGCCAUGAGUCUCAUAGUAAAACAUAGAAUAAUAGAAAUGGGUUAAUUAAUUGUGAGAGCUAGUCAGUAAUAUGCCUGAGCCAUCAGCCAGACAAUUAUAAUUAAUAUUAAACCUCAGAAUGAUUAUUUAAUAAGCAGCAGUUAGAACCAGUGUGUGGGAGAAAAACCUGUCAAAUGAAACUGGGUGAAACAGAGAAAAACUUCCAACUGCAAUAUAUAAUAUAAAUAAUAUAUAUUAUCCAUAUAAUUAUAAUAUAUAUAUAUAUAUAUAUAUAUAUAUAUACAUAUGGUUGUUAUAUUACAUCGAUUAUAUGCAUAUAUGUAUAAUAUAUUUAUUCUUUUUCCAGGUUUUCUAUUUUGCCUCACUUGUCUAUUGGUCAUCUCCAUUCUAAAAUCAUGCUAUCUAGCUAUUUAUAAGUUCAACCAGUUGGCAGACAGCAACCUAUUACUAUGUACAAAGUGCCUGUGGUGAUAUACUUAUCCUUCUUGAAGCCUGGUUUCAAAUACGAAGAUACACUGAAGGGAACAAACUUUGCUCUAUCGAUGUUUUGUUUGUGCCAGAGCUGAAGAAGACACACAGAGAACAUUUAUUCAACACUAACAUAUGGAGUACAGAGGGCUCAGUGCUUCAUAGAUGAAGUCUAUGAUGCACAACCCGUGUCAAGAAAGGUUGGCAGUAAAGUCACAGGACCCCUGUGGACUGCUUCAGACAUUUGAGUUCAAUACCUGCUUGAUCUUUCAGAGCCUGGUGUUUCCCAGCUCUCAUCGUAGAUGACGUAAGAGUCAUUGUGUUGUGGUUUAUUUUUUCAAAGCUUAGUCUUGGUCAGUUGCUGAGAUGGAACAUAGCCUCAUCCUGCAUGGCUCCAGAAAUUGACUGAACUGGCCCAACGAGGGAGCGAAGAAAUGACAGACACUAAUGACACACAUAGACACAGAGAAAACCUUGAAUUGGUGUCUGGGCUCUAUGAUGGAGAAGCCACAGCACCCUGGAAGUUCAGAACGCAUGUUACAUACAAUUGAACA